rnacentral:rRNA from 1 species
UCCUGCAGCUCUCGCCUGGUUUCCUACUGAUGCUAUGCAGGGUUGAGCCUGGGCAGUACCUGAUGAGAGACCUCCUGAGGAAAACUAAGGUUGCUGCUGGAA